GACGAACGCUGGCGGCGUGCUUAACACAUGCAAGUCGAACGCUGAAGCUCAGCUUUUGUUGGGUGGAUGAGUGGCGAACGGGUGAGUAACACGUGAGUAACCUGCCCCCUUCUUUGGGAUAACGCCCGGAAACGGGUGCUAAUACUGGAUAUUCACUGGUCUUCGCAUGGGGGUUGGUGGAAAGGGUUUUUCUGGUGGGGGAUGGGCUCGCGGCCUAUCAGCUUGUUGGUGGGGUGAUGGCCUACCAAGGCUUUGACGGGUAGCCGGCCUGAGAGGGUGGCCGGUCACAUUGGGACUGAGAUACGGCCCAGACUCCUACGGGAGGCAGCAGUGGGGAAUAUUGCACAAUGGGCGCAAGCCUGAUGCAGCGACGCCGCGUGAGGGAUGGAGGCCUUCGGGUUGUGAACCUCUUUCGCUCAUGGUCAAGCCGCAACAAUGGUUGUGGUGAGGGUAGUGGGUAAAGAAGCGCCGGCUAACUACGUG
rnacentral:rRNA from 1 species